CCUCCUCACUUCAUAUCCUCUUCUCUUGGAUCCCCUCUCUCGUCUAGCUCGCCGGGGGCACCGCCGCUCGCCGUUGCAACGCCGGUCACAGGAACCAGCGGGAUUCGCCAGCCCUCAGUCCGGAUCGACGUCCAUGCCUCCAGCUCCGACAUGCAUGCCAGCUCGCCGUUGCAACGCCGGUCACAGGAACCAGCGGGAUUCGCCAGCCCUCAGUCCGGAUCGACGUCCAUGCCUCCAGCUCCGACAUGCACGCCAGCUGGACGGCGCCGUGAAUCGCCUCGUUUUCUGGAACCUCUUGGACCGAGGCCGCCUUCCUCGGUUUCGUCGGCCGUCGCGGUCGUCAUCCUCACCGAACAGCUACAGGGACUGUGACGGGCUCCGCUUUGUCCACAUCUUCUCUGGACCACUGAUUCGAAGCCGUGGAUCCCUCCUACUUCUUCCUGACGCUGACCGCCAUUACCGCUGUCCAGAACUCGUUGCUCUGCUCUGUCCGACCUCGCCACUAACAGCAGGGUGAGAAAUCGCCGCCGCUGUUGGUGUUGUUUGCUACUUGCCGCUGUCGCUGCAUGCUGCUGGCCACUUGUUGCUUGCCGUUGAUGCUCGAUGAUGUUAGCCGUGACUUGCCUGUAGAUGAGAGAAAGAGAGAUUGAUUUGCUAGUGCAAGUAUCUAAUGAGCCAGAUGCCAGCUGGUUUGAUCUUUUCAGCAAACGCUAUUGGGAAGUUGUGAGUGUGGGGAGCGACACUGUUUUUGUUUCAGUAACUUGCUGGCAUAAAUGCUGUCGUGUACUACUCUACGUCCAUGUUCCACAGUACAGGCAUUGCAUCUAAUGUUGCAGCGAGUGCUCUUGUUCAGUGAUGCCAAUGUUUUUGGCACCAUGAUUGCAUCUCCACUGAUGGUCAAGCAAGGAAGGAAGAGCCUUCUCAUAACAAGAUUAUCUGGAAUGGUGCGUCGAUGUUACUCUUGUCAUUGUCCUUCACCUGGAAGGCUUUAGCACCUUAUUAUGGCACUCUUGUUGUUGUUGGCACUGUCCUAUGCAUUGUGGCGGGAUAACUUACCUAUGUGCACUUGAAGAGGUGGCUAGAGUUAUCUUCUACCUUUCUCGAAGCAAUGCGAUAUCGAUAACCCCUAGCAUCGAAUUCCCCGCACUAACAUGGAGGAUGAACCCAGACCACACCCCCUCCCCCAAGCUGGUACAAGCCCUCAAGAAAACCAGACACAGGAAGAAAGCAAACCAACCAAGGCCAGCGGCGCAAGAGGCCGGGUAUAAAAAACCCUCCACAUCCGAAUGAGACCAACCGGCGAGUGCACUCCACAACCCAUCCAUCUAACCCUGCUACCCAGAGAAAAAACCACACAUGAACAUUAGUCCUUUAAAGGAUGUUGGAGUAUCCACCCCUGGGGCCUCGCCGCACGCAAGUGCCCACCCAUCGUUCGUUGUGCCUAGGCCUCAUGCUGCUAGCUCCCUGGGCUCUCCAUGUCAUCCAAUCUAUGAGGCCUCUGCACACUAGACGGAUUGCCUUGGGGGUCUAGGACGGGUGGGCCUUGUGAGCGGCUGGGGCCACCUCUUCAUGGUGGUUCUUAUCGUGCAUGUGCGCGCCCUCUCACACAAUGCCCCGAGUGCGACACGUGAGCCAGGUCAUCUUGUUAGCAUCCUUCGGCCCCUGCCGGGGUGCUUCGCUUGCACAAGUACGGUCCGCGUGUGCGCCUGACUCGAGUUCUGAGCAUUGCAUGCCCGGUCUUGCGAGCUGGGUGUGCUAAUCUGUCCAGGUGUCAUUAUGUGCGUGCCUUGUGAGUUGGGCCAGCCAAUCAAUGUCGUUGGCCCACUGAUGGGCUGCUUGGGUAGCAUGAGUCGGGCGCUCGCUUGGGCCCGACUCGGGGUCUGAUUAUUGCAUGCAUGGACUCGCGAGCUAGGUGCGCCCAUAUGGCCAUGUGUCGCUCUAUGUGAACCGAGCACGCGCAUGCACCCAGCUCAAGGUUUGAGCAUUGCAUGGUUUUAAAUAGAGGAUAGCAGGCUGGUAGCAGGUUGGGUUCCAUCUAGCUG